rnacentral:lncRNA from 1 species
UUUCACUUUUAGUUGUAAGGUAUGCAGAUGUUUUAGCAGGACGAGAGCACAUUCCUUGCGAUAGUAAUUUCUAGCAUUAAAUAUUAUAGCAACUCCUGCCUUCUGAAGAUAUAGAAGGAGUGAAACAAUUAGUCCCACAAAUUUUCAUAUCAAUAUGUUUGAUACAUUUUUACAUUAUCAUGCUGAUAAAUAAACACACAUGCAUACACACAGUUACAUACAAAUGGAGAUGAAAAGUAUAAUCUCCUGGUAACAUUUUCCAGUUGCAAAGCUAGCUAGCUGCAGCAAUUAACAUGGUAGUCAUGGCUAGCUUUAUACCAGGGUGCAUUGUAAGCAGGCUUUUAGCCAGAAGGGCGUCCAGGCAUCCUAGGACGCCCCUAGAACGAAAAAUGGACACCUUUGGAUGCCCAAAUUCUGGAGGAAAAGGGAAAUUAUUUUCGAAAUUAUAUUCCUAAGUAUAUUAAUAUAUCUGAAACGAAAUAGCUUCAAUUCUCAUUAUUUAUUACACAUUUG